UCUCGACAUCUUCGCUCAUGUAGGUGUCCGCCUAGAACAGGAACAGAGAAAGGAAAGGAAGCUGCCCACCUAUGACUUGGAAGACUCAGACAGCAAUCCCUCCUAAACUGACCAACAGAUUCAACACAUUCCUACUGAAACCAGCUGGCUUCUUUGCGGAAACUGGAUGUGGGGAAGCAGAAAGAAAAAGGGAACGUGAACUAAGCUCACCUUAAUGAUCUCUUCGUGCCCGUCAUGGGACUCCACCAG